GCCUCCAGCUGUGCUGGGGUCACGUGGCCGCGGGCGCCGGGGGCCAGGCUGGAGGCCCGCGGGCAGUGGAGAGACGCUGGGGAAGGGGGGUCCUGACAGGGGAGCCCCGCCCCCACCCCAGGCGACGUGGCCAGCGGCCACCCGGAGCAACGCACCUUAGGGUAGAAGGACGCUUCCCACUGACCACGUCUCCCAUCCCCACCCAGAGCCUCCCGUUCGGUAUUUUGGGAAGAAGCCACAGCAUCUUCCUUUACGUCCACUUUAAUUGAGCAUCUAGGAUGUGUGGGCGAGGCAGUCUCACAAGCAACGUGAGAGAAGCUCGGGUAGAGGUGCGAAGAGCUGGGAGCGCAGGGCGGGGACCUCGCACGGGAGGGUGCGGGCGGGAGCCUGCCUCGCGAGCCCGGGCCACGGCCGCUGCUCCCGACCGUGACUGGGACCCGGGCAGGGAAGGUCGCUACAAAGCCUGCCGGGCGAACCGAAGGCAGCUUUGUGCGGAGCCAUGCCAGGAAGCUUGGGAACCGUGAGCCACAAGAGCUGUCCCCAACCUUUUUGGCACUAGGAACCGGUUUCAUGGAAGACAAUUUUUCCACGGACUUGGCAGGGAAAAUCUGUGCAUACAGUGUGGACAUCUAAGUCAUACAUAACAAGCCUGUUGCAUCCUUGGAGCAUGGCACAGCAGGAAUAAAGGAGAAAGAAGCUGGAAUCAGACAGUGGGGGUCAGGGAGAAGAUCUAUAACAUUCUGCUAGGUGGAUGAGAGAUGCAAAGGAGAUGACAUGAUCUGUGAAGGAAAUUGCACUGGGCAGGUGUCAGCUCAGGCUGCUGUCCACAUGAUGCCUGGGACAUGUCUGAGGGACUAGCCUGCUGCAAGUUAACAGCACAUAAUUCUGGAAGGGCGGUGGGAAACCCUGAGCCAGAAGUGGUUCUUAUUUUCGCUCAUGUGUGUGCAGUGAGUAUUUAGAGCAUAGGAUAUUGUGCUGCCCCUGAACCUUCUGACUUCCCAGAGGUGACCAACGUUUUAGCUAAAAACAUUUAGCUAAAUGUUUGAAUGGAAUUGUGCUUUAAAAUAAGGUACAACUUGCUGAGCAUGGUGGUGCAUGACUACAGUCCCAGCUACUCGGGAGGCUGAGGAGAAAGGCCCAGGAAUUCAAGUCCAGCCUGGGCAACAUAGCAAGACACGUCUCUACAUAAUAAUAAUAAUCAUUAAUACAUAAAAUAAGGUACAAGAUGCUGGGGGUAAAGAGAGAAGAGGAGGGGCAUCAUGUCAAGCCUCUCCAGGAGAAAGGACACACCUGCUGGAUUGUGUGAGGGAUUUAGAAUAGGGGCAUAUAAGGGAUCACAGGGCAGUCAAUAAUUCUACACAGGCAGCAAAUUUGAUGCUGAAGGAUGACCAAUGUGGAUGCCAUGCCACUUAACGCUACUGUUGCAGCCGCAGAUCCUAGUAUUUGAAAUAUGCCUCAAGAAGGAAACACUUAAGAAGUGCUGAAUAACCCUCUCCCUCUCCCUCUCCCUCUCCCUCUCCCUCUCCCUCGUCUCCAUCUCCCCACGGUCUCCCUCUCCCUCUCUUUCCACGGUCUCCCUCUGAUGCCAAGCCGAAGCUGGACUGUACUGCUGCCAUCUCGGCUCACUGCAACCUCCCUGCCUGAUUCUCCUGCCUCAGCCUGCCGAGUGCCUGCGAUUGCAGGCGCACGCUGCCACGCCUGACUGGUUUUCGUAUUUUUUUGGUGGAGACGGGGUUUCGCUGUGUUGGCUGGGCUGGUCUCCAGCUCCUAGCCGCGAGUGAUCCGCCAGCCUCGGCCUCCCGAGGUGCCGGGAUUGCAGACGGAGUCUCGUUCACUCAGUGCUCAAUGGCGCCCAAGCUGGAGUGCAGUGGCGUGAUCUCCGCUCGCUACAACCUCCACCUCCCAGCAGCCUGCCUUGGCCUCCGAAAGUGCCGAGAUUGCAGCCUCUGCCUGGCCGCCACCCCGUCUGGGAAGUGAGGAGCGUCUCUGCCUGGCCGCCCAUCAUCUGGGAUGUGAGGAGCCCCUCUGCCUGGCUGCCCAGUCUCGAAAGUGAGGAGCGUCUCUGCCCGGCCGCCAUCCUAUCUAGGAAGUGAGGAGUGUCUCUGCCCGGCCGCCCAGUCUGGGAAGUGAGGAGCGCCUCUUCCCGGCCGCCAUCCCAUCUAGGAAGUGAGGAGCGUCUCUGCCCGGCCGCCCAUCAUCUGAGAUGUGGGGAGCGCCUCUGCCCCGCCGCUCCGUCUGGGAUGUGAGGAGUGCCUCUGCCCGGCCGCGACCCCGUCUGGGAGGUGAGGAGCGUCUCUGCCCGGCCGCCCCGUCUGAGAAGUGAGGAGACCCUCCACCCGGCAGCCGCCCUGUCUGAGAAGUGAGGAGCCCCUCCGCCCGGCAGCCACCCCGUCUGGGAAGUGAGGAGCGUCUCCGCCAGGCCAGCCGCCCCGUCCGGGAGGGAGGUGGGGGGUCAGCCCCCGCCCGGCCAGCCGCCCCGUCCAGGAGGUGAGGGGCGCCUCUGCCCGGCCGCCCCUACUGGGAAGUGAGGAGCCCCUCUGCCCGGCCAGCCGCCCGGUCCGGGAGGGAGGUGGGGGGUCAGCCCCCGCCCGGCCAGCCGCCCCAUCCGGCCGCCCCUACUGGGAAGUGAGGAGCCCCUCUGCCCGGCCACCACCCUAUCUGGGAGGUGUACCCAACAGCUCAUUGAGAACGGGCCAUGAUGACAAUGGCGGUUUUGUGGAAUAGAAAAGGGGGAAAGGUGGGGAAAGAUUGAGAAAUCAGGUGGCUGCUGUGUCUGUGUAGAAAGAAGUAGACAUGGGAGACUUUUCAUUUUGUUCUGUACUAAGAAAAAUUCUUCUGCCUUGGGAUCCUGUUGAUCUAUGACCUUACCCCCAACCCUGUGCUCUCUGAAACAUGUGCUGUGUCCACUCAGGGUUAAAUGGAUUAAGGGCGGUGCAAGAUGUGCUUUGUUAAACAGAUGCUUGAAGGCAACAUGCUCCUUAAGAGUCAUCACCACUCCCUAAUCUCAAGUACCCAGGGACACAAACACUGCGGAAGGCUGCAGGGUCCUCUGCCUAGGAAAACCAGAGACCUUUGUUCACUUGUUUAUCUGCUGACCUUCCCUCCACUAUUGUCCUAUGACCCUGCCAAAUCCCCCUCUGCGAGAAACACCCAAGAAUGAUCAAUAAAAAAAAAAAAAUAAAAAUAGAAAAAUAAAAAAAGCAUUAUUAGGGGGAAAAAAAAAAAAAGAAGUGCUGAAUAAGAAUUCCAAUCCUGGCUUCAUCGCUAACUUGCUUUGGGAACUUGGGCUUUAAUUUUCUCAAAGCCUCAGUUUGCUCAUCUGUAAAUUGGGGCAAAUAACAUCUGUUCAACUUACCUACCAGAAACGUUGUGUGGCUAAAAAGAAAUAGAAGGUAUGAAAAUGCUUUGGUUAUAUUCAAAGUUCUAUAUACAUGGAAGAUAUUCAGGAUCCUCCCACCUUCAAAGUUCAUAUCUAAGAAAACCCCUACUAAAUCCUUUAGAAUGGAACUGCUCAAUAUAGUAGCCACUAGCCACAUUGACUACUGAGUACUUAAAUGUGACUAGUGCAACUGAGGAACUGAAUUUUUAAUUUUAUUUAACUGUAACUAAUUUUAAUUGAAAAACUGAUACUCUAUUCAAUUACUGGAAAACUUUUAAGUACAUUUGGACCAACCUGGAUUCAUGAAUCUACUUUUGUUCCCAGUGUUUUUUCUAUUUUUUUAUUGAUAACAUAAUAGAUAUACAUAUUUUGAGUGUGCAUUCAAACAUUUAAUAUUAAUACAUUCAUAUAAUUUGUAAAGAUCAAAUCAGUGUAACUGGGAUAUCCAUUAUCUUAAAUGAAUCUACUUUUUAAAUGGUAUUUAUAAAAUCUAAAGAUAUGUAAAGUGUUUCUGCUUAAAUUUAGUGUUUGAAUUGAGAUGUGCUCCAAGUGUACAACACACACCAAAUUUCAAAGACUUAGUUAAAAAAAAAAAACACCGGGAAGGGCAGGAGGAAGGGAGAGAUAGGGAGAGAUUUGUUAAAGGAUAUAAAAUUAUAGCUAGAUAGGAGGAAUAGGUUCUAGUGUAGUAUGGCCAUAGUUAACAAUAAUAUAUAGCUUCAAAGAGCUAGAAGGAGGAUAUUGAAUGUUUCCAACAUAAGCAUCAAUAUUUGAGAUCAUAGAUAUGCUAAUUACAGUGUUCUGAUCACUAUACAUAGUAUAUUGAAACAUCACUAUAUACCCCAUGAAUAUGUACAAUUAUUACAUGAAUAUGUAUCAAAACAAAUUAAAUUUAAAGACAAAACAAAGAACAUAAAACAUCUUCUUAAUAAUGUUUUAUAUUAUGUGUUGAAAUGAUAACAUCUUGUAUAUAUUGGGUAAAGUAAAAUAUAUCAUUAAGAUAAA